CUAAGGCAUGACGGCCUGUACCCGAAACCGACACAGGUGGGGUGGUAGAGAAUACCGAGGGGCGCGAGAUAACUCUCUCUAAGGAACUCGGCAAAAUGGCCCCGUAACUUCGGGAGAAGGGGUGCCACCGCAAGGUGGUCGCAGUGAAGAGGCCCAGGCGACUGUUUACCAAAAACACAGGUCUCCGCUAAGUCGCAAGACGAUGUAUGGGGGCUGACGCCUGCCCAGUGCCGGAAGGUUAAGGAAGCUGGUCAGCGCAAGCGAAGCUAGCGACUGAAGCCCCGGUGAACGGCGGCCGUAACUAUAACGGUCCUAAGGUAGCGAAAUUCCUUGUCGGGUAAGUUCCGACCCGCACGAAGGGCGUAACGAUCUGGGCGCUGUCUCGGAGAGAGGCUCGGCGAAAUAGAAUUGUCUGUGAAGAUGCGGACUACGUGCACCCGGACAGAAAGACCCUAUGAAGCUUUACUGUAGCUUGGUAUUGUGCCCGGGCUCUGAAUGCGCAGGAUAGGUGGGAGGCUUUGAUCCAUUGCUUGUGGGUAAUGGUGAGCCACUGGUGAGAUACCACUCUUUCAGAGCUAGGGUUCUAACGGUCACCCGUUAUCCGGGGACCGGACAGUAUCAGGUGGGCAGUUUGACUGGGGCGGUCGCCUCCUAAAAGGUAACGGAGGCGCGCAAAGGUCCCCUCAGGCUGGUUGGAAAUCAGCCGACGAGUGUAAAGGCAGAAGGGAGCUUGACUGUGAGACCUACAAGUCGAACAGGGACGAAAGUCGGCCUUAGUGAUCCGACGGUUCUGAGUGGAAGGGCCGUCGCUCAACGGAUAAAAGUUACUCUAAGGAUAACAGGCUGAUCUCCCCCAAGAGUUCACAUCGACGGGGAGGUUUGGCACCUCGAUGUCGGCUCAUCGCAACCUGGGGCUGAAGUCGGUCCCAAGGGUUGGGCUGUUCGCCCAUUAAAGCGGUACGCGAGCUGGGUUCAGAACGUCGUGAGACAGUUCGGUCCAUAUCCGGUGCACGCGCAGGAACAUUGAGAGGAUUUCUCCCUAGUACGAGAGGACCGGGAGGAACGCACCUCUGGUGUACCAGUUAUCGUGCCAACGGUAAACGCUGGGUAGCCAUGUGCGGAGCGGAUAACCGCUGAAAGCAUCUAAGUGGGAAGCCCACCUCAAGAUGAGUGUUCCCAUGGCAUAAGCCAGUAAGGUCACGGGAAGAACACCCGUUGAUAGGCUCUACGCGGAAGCGUGGCAACACGUGAAGCGGAGGAGUACUAAUAGACCGAGGGCUUGACC
rnacentral:rRNA from 1 species